UCACCGAAAACAUUUCGCAAUACCAUCAUCUCCUCCACCGAGCAAAGGUUGUGCUUCAUCAUUUCCAUUCUAAGUGCCCAUUGGAACGGUUCCACAUCCACGGAGAGAGCGAGACCGCCGGACGGAGUCCAGCCGGGAGCUGCUGGAGAAAAAGAUUGAUCCAUUAGGCAUUGGGCGAUAGGAUCUGGAGUUUUGUUUUAUUCGUCGUUUUUUCGGUGUUAUCUAAAAAGUGGUAUAAUUUGUUUUGGGUUUUAUUUUUCGCGAAAAAAAUUAUUUGAAAAACCGUCCUAGGCCUACUGCGCGAUGUCCUAUAAUGGAUACUUGCCCGUUGUGUGGUGGUGGUCGUUGUUGUUGUAGUGUUAGUGUGUAAACUGUCGAGCAAGUCGAGAAAUUGCGUUGUUUGAUUUGAUCAAAAAAAAAAUCGAAUCGAACCCAAAAUAAAUCGGAAUAAAAAACGUUAAGCCAAAAUUGGAGUAGUUCUCCAAAUUUGAAAUUAAAAUAGUCAUAUGAAUUAAGUGCUCAAACAGGAUCAGAAAAACUAAAAGAAAACACGUAAUACAAGAUAAUGCGCAGUACGUUUUCAUCCCAGUCAUCAUCGAACAGCUGUGGUGCAGCAAAAAAAAAACAAACGAAUGAAAGUUCUGGAAUAAACGUAGAAUUCGCCGCGCGUGGCGAUCGGUACGAAAAUAUUAACUUUGUUCGAUCGGUUCCUCCAAAAAAACGAAAAAAAAGAAAUGAAAACGUCACUUUUCCCCAUCGUAUCGAUCAUUAAUUACUAAUCAUCGGUCAGCGAAUAAUCAAUUCUGCUCCAUCAUCCAGGAAUGGCAAGUGUUAGUGCGACGAAAAAAUUCCCGAAUCCGAGAGAGAGAACUUGCAUCGAUUCACUGCAACUCAAACGAACGUCAUCCAAGCAGGCUGUUUCUGCUGCUGCUUCGGCAAAAUACCUUGAACUUUUUGCAAUAUGGAUGAAAAAAAACGGGCUAUGCACAAACGUCGAAGUGAGAAAGAAAUAAAAAAAAAACAGAACAUUUAUUUUGAACUUGAACUUGAACGCCAUACAACCAUACCGACACACGCAUACCGACACUCUCUGCAACAAACAACAACAACAACAAGGUAAGUCCCAAAUCGAUAAUGUGUUUUGACUGCUGUUGUGUGCGCUGCACUUGCAAAUGUGAGAACCUGAUAACGAUGAUGAUGAUGAUGAUGAUGGUGAGUGUGCUGAUCGUGAGUGGUUGAGUGCCUGAGUGAAGCUCACUCGGGAAUCGAUGACAGUUGGGUUCGCUUCCGCUUCAAUCGGUGCUGCUCACGCCCACUCGGAGGUGUGCUGCGAGAAAAAAAUAGGAAAAUUCAAUUGAUCGAUCGCAGCUAGGUACGGUUGAUGAGUUGAAAAUGUAGUUUGUUUAGUUUGUUAGUGACAGGUUUUUUUUUCAAAUUAGGAAAAGUGACACAUCUCGUUCUGGUUUAUUGAAGAGACACGCAUCUUUAUUAAUGUUAUUAAUCAUGAAAACCUGAGAAGUGACAAUCUUUUUUUAUUCGUAUCCUUUAUUUAGAUCCGGCUUUAACCAAUUAUGGUCGUUCGCCGGGAAAAUGCAAAUCUUAUGAAAGAAGCUUAACAAAAUCGAGAAUCAAUUUUCCAUUACUAGAACGUGUUUCAACAGGAAAAUUUUUACAUAAAAUAUCCAGUAAUUUUCUGUAAGAAUAUCCAAGCUUGCAGAAAAUCACUUCAUAAGUCUGUUUUUUUUUAAUAAUUUUCAAAAUGCUUCAGAUUGGUAAUGUAGAACAUGGCUUUUUUCCGGAUUUCCGAAGAUAUGAGUUUUUUUAUGCGAAUUCUCUAAGUUGUGCAUCUCUUUUUGCGAAUUUAUGAAGAUAUGCAGUUUUUCAAUGCUGAUUCUCGAAGUUAUGCGGCGAAAACUAGAAACAGAAACUAGAAAUAGAAACUAGAAACAGAAACUAGAAACAGAAACUAGAAACAGAAACUAGAAACAGAAACUAGAAACUAGAAACAGAAACUAGAAACAGAAACUAGAAACAGAAACUAGAAACAGAAACUAGAAACAGAAACUAGAAACAGAAACUAGAAACAGAAAUUAGAAACAGAAACUAGAAACAGAAACUAGAAACAGAAACUAGAAACAGAAACUAGAAACAGAAACUAGAAACAGAACCUAGAAACAGAACCUAGAAACAGAAACUAGAAACAGAAACUAGAAACAGAAACUAGAAACAGAAACUAGAAACAGAAACUAGAAACAGAAACUAGAAACAGAAACUAGAAACAGAAACUAGAAACAGAAACUAGAAACAGAAACUAGAAACAGAAAUUAGAAACAGAAACUAGAAACAGAAACUAGAAACAGAAACUAGAAACAGUAACUAGAAACAGAAACUAGAAACAGAAACUAGAAACAGAAACUAGAAACAGAAACUAGAAACAGAAACUAGAAACAGAACCUAGAAACAGAACCUAGAAACAGAAACUAGAAACAGAAACUAGAAACGGAAACUAGAAACAGAAACUAGAAACAGAAACUAGAAACAGAAACUAGAAACAGAAACUAGAAACAGAAACUAGAAACGGAAACUAGAAACAGAAACUAGAAACAGAAACUAGAAACAGAAACUAGAAACAGAAACUAGAAACAAACACUAGAAACAGAAACUAGAAACAAACACUAGAAACAGAAACUAGAAACAGAAACUAGAAGCAGAAACAGAAACUAGAAACUAGAAGCAGAAACUAGAAACAAAAACUAGAAACAGAAACUAGAAACAGAAACUAGAAACAGAAACUAGAAACAGAAACUGGAAACAGAAACUAGAAACAGAAACUAGAAACAGAAACUAGAAACAGAAACUAGUAACAGAAACUAAAAACCGAAACUAGAAACCGAAACUAGAAACAGAAACUAGAAACAGAACCUAGAAACAGAAACUAGAAACAGAAACUAGAAACAGAAACUAGAAACAGAAACUAGAAACAGAAACUAGAAACAGAAACUAGAAACAGAAACUAGAAACAGAAACUAGAAACAGAAACUAGAAACAGAAACUAGAAACAGAAACUAGAAACAGAAACUAGUAACAGAAACUAGAAACAGAAACUAGAAACAGAACCUAGAAACAGAAACUAGAAACAGAAACUAGAAACAGAAACUAGAAACAGAAACUAGAAAUAGAAACUAGAAACAGAAACUAGAAACAGAAACUAGAAACAGAAACUAGAAACAGAAACUAGAAACAGAAACUAGAAACAGAAACUAGAAACAGAAACUAGAAACAGAAACAGAAACAGAAACUAGAAACAGAAACAAGAAAAAGAAUCAAGAAACAGAAACAAGAAACGAAAAAUAAGAAAUAAGAAAACAGAAAUAAGAAUCAAGAAUCAAGAACCAAGAAUCAAGAAUCAAGUAUUAUGAAUUAUUAUGAAUUAUGAAUUAUGAAUUAUGAAUUAUGAAUUAUGAAUUAUGAAUUAUGAAUUAUGAAUUAUGAAUUAUGAAUUAUGAAUUAUGAAUUAUGAAUUAUGAAUUAUGAAUUAUGAAUUAUGAAUUAUGAAUUAUGAAUUAUGAAUUAUGAAUUGAGAAUAGAGAAUUAAGAAUUGAGAAUUAAAAAUUUAAAAUUAAGAAUUAAGAAGAAGGGUUUUGAAUUAAGAACUAAGAACUAAGAAACAUUGAACAAAAAAACAAGAAACAGAAACUGAAAACAGGAACCUAAUACAUAAAAUAUAAAUACGAAGUUGAGACAAAACCUAGAAACAGGAACUAAAACAUAAACUAGAAAAAAACUAGGAAUAGAAAUAGACACUAGAACCAGAAACUAGAAACAGAAACUAAAAACAGGAACAUUAACAUAAACUAGACAAAUAAUCUUGAAACUAGAAAUUGAAAUAACAAACCUAAAAUGGAUACUAGAAACCGUAACAGAAACUGAAAAGAAAAAUUAAGAACAAUAACUAAAAACAAGGGAAAAAAUAUAUUACUAACUAAAAAUGGAAACUGAAAACAGAAAUUAGAAACAAGAACUAGAGACAGAAACUGAAAUCAGGAACUAAAAAAAGAAACUUACAACAGAAACUGAAAAAAGGAACUAAUAACAUAAACUAGAAACAAAGAUUAGAAUCAGAAACUUGAAACGAAAACUAGAAGUUGCAAUAAAAAACUUAAAACGGCAACUGGAAACAAAAACAGAAAUUAUUAACAGAAAUCAAACAGAUACUUAAAACUAAAAAUGAUAACUAAACACGAAAAUUAACAAAAACUAAAAACUGUAACAAGAAACCAAAUACAGAAACUUUAAACAGAGACUAGAAGCAAAAACUCGAAACGAAAACUAGAAACAGAAACUAGAAGUUGGACUAAAAUCAGAAACUAAAAACAAAGACUGGAAACAGAAAUCAGAAACUCAAACAGAAACGGAAGCCAGAUGCUAAAAACCAAAAAUGGUAACUGAAAACAGAAAUUAGAAAAAAAAAGAUUCCUAAACAAGAAACCAGAAACAGAAACUAGAGACAGAAAUUGAAAACAGGCAAAAAAGGCACUCAUAACAUAUACUAGAAAUAGAAACUAGAACGAGACACUAUAAACAGAAAUUGGAAAUAAAAUCAGAAAAGGAAAACAGAUACUAAAAAUAAAAAACAGCAACUUAAAAUUAAAAUUUGAAACAAUAUACCGAAAUAAUAAACUGAAACAAGAAACUAGAAAAUGAAACUCCGAAACAGAGACUAGAGACAGAUACCAGAAAUAAAUAAAAAUCAAAAGCAAGAAACAGAAGUACGAUGAACAAAUUAGAACUAAAAACUAGAAAUGGUAACCGGAGACAGAAACUAAGAUAGGAACUAAAAUCGAACUUAGUUAGAGAUAUCAGAUAAGGAAACUAGAAAGCAGAUAUCGAAACGCGAAACAGAAACGUAUUUAGUAUUUACAAUUAAUCAUUCGUUUUCAUUGAAGCUCUGUUAGACGGAAAAUCAUACGUUUCUCGGUUCUAGUGUUAUGCACAAUGCGUUACCUUUUGAUAGAACUUUAAUGGAGACGAAUGAUUGAAUGUUAGUUGUUUUAGAAAAAAACUCAUAAAUUUUGGUUUUUCACAUUAAACAAAAAAUGUAACCAAAACAAUUUAACGUGUCGAAAAGUGGUUUUAUUCAUUACUAAACCAUCGAGAGUGGUACCAAAAUCGAAAGUUUCAAAAAAUUGCCCUUCUUGUUUGCACAAACGAACAACUUGUUGUUACAUGUUUGUACCAGAAAAGUUACAUAAACCAAACCAACUGGAAAAAAAAAGGUUGCACAAUCAAUCGGAAGAAACGGAAUAACACAGCAACCGCUGGCAGAGCAGUAUUGAUUCUCACACAGGCUCACAGGCUGCUCUGUAUCUGUAGCAGUCCCUUAUCGUUAUGUAAUUUUCCAUUACAAGAUUAUGCAGCCGCGGCGGUGGCGGCGGUACAUAUGUGGUGAUGCGGAGGGUGCGAUUGUUUCCAAUCAAUCCUGCACAUACGUCAGUCAGUCAGUCAGUCAGUCAGCGCAGUGACAACUACCCAGAGAAGCCAGAUCUGCAGAUUUGUCUGUAAAUUUGAAAAUUUCGUGCAUAGUGCUGCACACAUACAUAGCUCUUGCAGACUUUUGAAAAUUGAGCUUUUCACAGACUUUCGUGAAAAUUUACAGACUUUUGAAAUUGUCAAAUCGCCAAAUCAGUUAUUGUAUCAUACUUCAUAGAGGAAUGGCUGCCAGCCAUUUAUUGGAUAUAUAAACUUUUCCAACCCAGUCUAAAGAUUUUUGAAAUUUUUACCUGGCAUCUCUGCAACUACCGACCGACAGCGAUAGAGAUAGAGAGCGGGCAAGCGAGCGAGCGCGAAAGCGCGGAAUGGAAGGGAUGAAAGAGAGAAAAUAAAACACAUCAUCGAGGCCAAGUGCCACCACUGUCACGUGCCACCAACCGUUUUCAAAACGUGACUCUCAUCAUUUAGCUUGCUGAGCUCCCGAGCUUAGUACAUGUAUUAGAAGAAAACAAACAAACAAACAUGUCAAUUUUUUGUUUCACUCAACAGCAGCCUCUGUGCUUACGGCUUGCAUAACGCCGCAACCACCGAUCAUCAUCGAUUCUCUGAGUGAGUGAGUGAGUGAAUGAGUGAAGUGAGUGAAUGUGGUUGUCGUCUACCAGCAAAUGAAUUUUCGAACCGAUCGGUUCGUGUCUUGGCUAACUGUUAUACCGAAAGCAUUCUCCCCGUCAACAGUCAACAAUCCAACCAAGCAACCAGGGAAAGAUUUUCGGCUACCGGGAUACACCCUGUGCUCGCUUUGUAUUCGCUAUUAGUGAACACAGCUGGUGGUAUCUCAGUGGCCCUAAUCCGAUUGCAACGGUGAAAAAACAGAAAAUGCAGGCGGGGAGCGAGAGGGCUCAUAAAUGUUUUAGUUUGAAAGAAAGCUUUCCGUUUCGACCACCGAUUGGCUGGCGGUGGAAAAAGAGUGACGAAAGCGCUCUUCGCUUGUUGUUGGUGAUGAUCGAUUUUAUAGCACGUAGUCACAAAGUACCCCGAGGCUCCAUCCGAAAUGCGUUUUCUCGUCCCUUUUUAUUUUUACUGUCAUUGUGCAUUUAACAUUCAAGUAAAAAAAAUGAUAUGGCAUUAAUAUUUUGCACCUCUCCUGUUGGAACCACGCCAAAAACUGACUACUUGGAUGACGAUUCUGACGUGCGAAUCCCACCUUGUUUUUUUUUUUGUUGGCACCUCUGAAAGUUGCAAUGCAACAUUGUUUUUUAAUUAAAAUAAAUCUAUGUUCAAUUUAAAUAGCAUCCGUUUAUUUUACUUUAAAAGCUAUAUACAAACAAAAAAUCACAAAUAUCGAGCCCCACUGACAACCUGAACCUGCAGGUACUGUCGGAUGCGUCGGAUUCUUUUGACGAAUCGAGUCCGGAUUUGGUUCGACAGUCGUUCCAUCAUACUUCCGCCCAUUCAACUGGCUGCUAAGGGAACCUCCGAGAAGGACAACAGCCGGGACUUGACAAUAACUGUGAAUUGAGCGAUCGAUUCCUUGAUCACCUUGGCGGUUAAAAAAGAAGAAAAAGUCACGUAAGCUCGAUCCCGCUAAAAUUAGGUCCCUUUCGUCCGAUCGUCCUCCGAUGUCAUUUCUUGAUUCGGGUUGACAAAAAAAGAAGAAAAAAAAAUACCCACCCCAAUUCAAACUGCACAUCCUAGUUUUGUAAUGUUAAUUUAGUUUUAUUUUUAAAACACUUUCGUCAAUUGGUCCCUUUCGUUUGCGCACUCGUUUUUUAUUUCGACUUGGCACCGGUGUAGCAGUCGAAUAAAUCAACCGAAUUCCAACCUCGAAACAUCUUAACCUUUCUGACUUGCAUCAGUUCUCUGCACUCGUGAAAUCAAUCUAGUGAAAAUCGAACUGAUCAUAGUUUUUUUAUAUCCGUUUUGUUGUUGUUGUUGCUAACAGCUGUCAAUUACAAUACCAACUAUCGACCCGACCGAUCAAAAGUAGAC